rnacentral:ncRNA from 2 species
UCCAUACGGUGUCACGGCGGUGCCCGGCAUUCGGGGUAAAAGGGAAGGCGGUGGGAAUCCGCCACGUAGGGCCGGCGCUGUGAGCGGGGAUGAAAUCCGAAAAAGACCACUGCUUUCGAGUCCGUGGAGGAACGGGGCGUCCGGGUGAAGCUGGCCACCUCGAGCGGGACGGGGCGGGAAGGUUCGGAGAGUAAGGGGAUCCGCGAGUCAGAAAACCUGCCGUCGUGACAAGGAUUAG